GGAUAAGCCUUGCACAUCAACAACAAGCUACAGAUUUUCACUGGGGUUACAACUUCCCCUUAGCUUGACAUAACAACAAUUAACUCUACAUUCCAGAAGAAAUAAUCAAAUAAACACACAGCAUAUAUAGUAGUAUCUCUCUAAGAAGAGCCUGUUGAACUUUUCCUACCUUUACCAAGAGCACCUCCACCAGCACCGCCACUAUAACCAGAGCCUGAACCACCUCCAAAGCCAGAGCCACUGCCUCCACCUGUACCGCCUCCGCCACCUCCACCACCACCUUGUCCACCAAAGCUUCCUCCACUGGCCUCCCUGCCAGAGCCACUGCCAAACCCAUACCCGGAACCAGAACCACUUCCACUCCUACUUCCACCCCCACCACCUCCUUCUCCUCCACCGCCACCUCCAGCACUAACGCUUCCACCUGCCGAAGGUGACUGUGAAGGAGAAUAUUGUGGAAGAGAACGUGGAGGAGGGCUUAGAGCUUGGACACAGAGAGCAAAGCUGAUAAGUAGAAGAAAUGCUGAGCAGACCAAAAAAGGACGAGCCA
rnacentral:misc_RNA from 1 species